GAGUAAUGUAUCGGAACGUGCCUAGUAGCGGGGGAUAACUACGCGAAAGCGUAGCUAAUACCGCAUACGCCCUACGGGGGAAAGCAGGGGAUCGCAAGACCUUGCACUAUUAGAGCGGCCGAUAUCGGAUUAGCUAGUUGGUGGGGUAACGGCUCACCAAGGCGACGAUCCGUAGCUGGUUUGAGAGGACGACCAGCCACACUGGGACUGAGACACGGCCCAGACUCCUACGGGAGGCAGCAGUGGGGAAUUUUGGACAAUGGGGGAAACCCUGAUCCAGCCAUCCCGCGUGUGCGAUGAAGGCCUUCGGGUUGUAAAGCACUUUUGGCAGGAAAGAAACGUCAUGGGCUAAUACCCCGUGAAACUGACGGUACCUGCAGAAUAAGCACCGGCUAACUACGUGCCAGCAGCCGCGGUAAUACGUAGGGUGCAAGCGUUAAUCGGAAUUACUGGGCGUAAAGCGUGCGCAGGCGGUUCGGAAAGAAAGAUGUGAAAUCCCAGAGCUUAACUUUGGAACUGCAUUUUUAACUACCGAGCUAGAGUGUGUCAGAGGGAGGUGGAAUUCCGCGUGUAGCAGUG
rnacentral:rRNA from 1 species